rnacentral:misc_RNA from 1 species
CCAACAUCCACCAGACCACCGCUGGUCCAACCAAUCGCGCCAAGAGGCCGAGACCAAACGACGCGCCGGCGCACACGCAAACCAACAACUAUUGCCGAUGUUUCCGCGUUACUCCCCGCACUCCUGCUCCGCUCGCCGCUUUUUAUAUCGACCUGCCCCGGCUCAGUCGGACAGUCCUCCACGCACGCACGCACGCACGACCAGUUGCCACGGCAGACCACCCCGCCCAGCGGCCAGCUUGCUCGCCACGACCACGAUGGGCUUCCCCGUGGGGUACUCGGAGUCGGAGAUGCUGCUCCCGCGCGUGCUGCUGCAGGUGCUCCUCCUCCUCGGCCACUUCCACCGCUUCCUCCUCUGGGCCUUCCACGCCGUGGGGCUCGGCGACCUGAUCGACCUCGGCUGCAACUACCCGCCGCCCUCCGCGUCCACGGCGCAGGAGAUGAUGGAGCACCAGCACCAGGGGCGCGACGACGUGGCCUCCCCGCUGCAGCACCAGCGCCCGGAGUUCAGGCCCGUCGCGGCGGCGCUCAUCGAGGAGGCGCUCCCCGUGGUGCGGUUCGACGAGCUGUGCGGCGCGGCGUGCGGGGGCGGCGACUGCGCGGUGUGCCUGGGCGGCAUCGGCGGCGGCGACGAGGUGCGGCGGCUCGGCAACUGCCGCCACGCCUUCCACCGGGCCUGCCUGGACCGCUGGAUGGCGCACGACCAGCGCACCUGCCCGCUCUGCCGCGCGCCGCUCAUCCCAUGGGCCGCCGACGCCGACUACGACAUGUCCUAUCCGUCUCCCCUGCCGCCCACGCCACUGCGGCGGCCUCACGAGCUGCUGCUGCUGCUUACCGGCCUGGGCGGCUUCCAGUGAUGCGCCUGCGCGUGGGCAGCGUGGCUGGCACUUGGGCAGGCCGGCCACGCGAAUCCGAUCCGUGGCGAGGCAAACCGCGUGCUCAUGUGCGGCCCAGCACGCCCGGUCGGUCAGGCGGGUGACCGCCGCCAAACCUGCUCAGUUGCCAGCCGUACACGCUUGGCCUCGUCUUCGGUCGUGUCUCCGACUCCGUUGGUUUUUUACAGAGGCUCCCAGUCCCAGGUCAAACAAAAAAAGAGGCGAAACAGACAAAGCACUCGGAAAUUAGGCAGGUACUGUACUAGGUUGAUCUGUAGGCCGAUUGGGCGACUCCAAAUCUGUGGAGCUGUGAAUCCUUUGGCAGAUUAAACUAAAAAUUGUCUCUAUAGAUCAGACCAUCAGAUCCCGUGCAGUCUGGCUCCAUUUGUGUUGCGCCAUUCCGCAUCGAUCGAUCGAUCACUCACUCGCUCAGUCACUCGAAUCCUGACCCUGUCCAGAAAGUACACUACUGCCAUGCUGAAGAGGGAAGACAAAUCUAAAGUCGACAUCUAGGACCUCCAUCUGGUUUAACAAUUAACAGUUUUAUUAAGCGAAC